rnacentral:lncRNA from 12 species
AUGACAUAUAACAUCUCACUGUUACUUCCAUUUUGCAGAUGAGGAGACUGAGGUUCAGAGAGGUUAAAUCUCCUGAAUGAAGGCCUCACAAGCCACAAGUGAUGGAGCCAGUCUUCAAUCGAUGUCUGCUUGAUCCCAUAGUGCUCUUCCAUUCCAUGAGCUAAGCUAAUAUGGGGGGUGCUAGGGAGCCAUAGGAGAAAGAGGAUGGAUGUGGGCCCCGGCCCAUGAGCAGCAAACCCCACUGGUGAUGACAGACACGGCUUCUUUCAGAACAACGUCCAGAGAUACUUCAUGGGCAGAAGUGAUGUGCUUUAGCCCAGCAAGAGCGGCACCACCCAAACAUCCACUCCCAUGUGUAUUACGCUCUGCCUUCCAGAGAACUCCAUCCCAGGAGUGGACCUGUGUGACGAUGAGCCACCAAGAAAGGCAGGCAGGGGAACAGCCUGGUACUUAUAAACGUUUGCCUGUGGACCACAGCUCUAUCCUGAAAAAUAUAUCCUAUGUACUUACUGAUGAGUAG